rnacentral:lncRNA from 1 species
UGGGUCAACGGGGAUGUGUGGGGUAAAAACCGUGGAUUUGGGGAAAGGUCGAUGGGUGAUUUGGGCUGGUUUCUAAGCCAACCUGGGCGGGGAGAUCUAAGAUGCUGUUCCGAACCCAAAACAACAAGACGGCGGGUGGCGCCACGUGCUCCUUGAGUCCCCAGCAGUGCAGUGCGCUGGAGCGGGUUUGGCCGAGAGAAGGCAAUUCUGCCCAAACAGCAAAGCCGCGAUAUUGGGCAGCAGGGAAAAGAAGGCUUGGCGAGGGAGACAUGGAAAAUUAGACGGGCAGAGCCAGCAGCCCCCCAACAAAAACCAAACCAGAUCCUGGAAAAAAGAUAAAAGAGGGCCAGGAGAGCUCAGCACACAGGGAUGCCUCGGAGAAAGAAAAGACACAGGUAGGUGUUCAAACAGGCAGAAAACCCCGCAGGCUCACAUACGUUUACAUGAAUGUACACAUGGAGAACCACAGCACACACAAAAACAUAUCCAAAAGCAUAAGCACCCUCAAAUACCGAUGCACUCGAAAUGCAAGCCUGAUCCACGCAGGGUCCCGGCGGUAGGGUUCCCAGUCCGCGGCCUGACUCUCGCUGUUCCGGAGAGCUCUGCCCCAGCCGGGGCCGACCCUUCCGGGCC